ACGACCUUAUUUGAACAGGAUCUGUUCUAUAGGAUCGUACUACUGUGUCCUUCUCAGCCAGCCAGUUUGGUUGGGAUGGUCACACGGUUGUCUUGAUAGAUUUCCACCUUUUUUGCAAACA
rnacentral:snoRNA from 1 species